GAUAUCAGGGUCAAAAGGUCAAAAAGUCGUUCGUGCUUGCACGAUAAGACUUUUGAACUUGGGACCCGCCAAACAUGAGAAAGUAGCGAUUUACGUAGUAAAUCAGCGGAUUUCGAAUGUUUGAGAAUUGCGGGAGCUGCUUUGCAGCGGAGCAAUUCGUAGAUAUC
rnacentral:sRNA from 1 species